UACGGGGGGGGCAACCGUUGUUCGGAAUUACUGGGCGUAAAGGGCUUGUAGGUGGCCAACUAAGUCAGACGUGAAAUCCCUCGGCUUAACCGGGGAACUGCGUCUGAUACUGGAUGGCUUGAGUGUGGGAGAGGGAUGCGGAAUUCCAGGUGUAGCGGUGAAAUGCGUAGAUAUCUGGAGGAACACCGGUGGCGAAGGCGGCAUCCUGGACCAUUACUGACACUGAAAAGCGAAAGCCAGGGGAGCAAACGGG
rnacentral:rRNA from 1 species